CCCAGGAAGAGAUUGACUCUUUUGUUGGUAAAGAAAGAUGGGUAGAAGAAUCUGAUAUCAAGAAUUUAGUCUACCUACAGGCCAUUGUCAAAGAGACAAUGCGACUACAUCCACCAGCACCUGUACCUAUGCCACGCCAAGCCGACGAAGACUGUAACGUAGCUGGCUACUUCAUUCCUAAAGGCACCCAAUUAUAUGUCAACGUAUGGAAAAUUCAGCGCGACCCGAGAAUAUGGCCGGAGCCUGAAAAAUUUUUUCCAGAGAGAUUCUUGAGUGGUGACCAAGCUGGCGCGCAGCUUGAUUUCUCCAGUCAAAACUUUGAGUUGAACCCUUUUGGUAAUGGCCGACGAAUUUGUCCAGGAAUGUCAUUUGCAUUGCAGGUGAUGCACUUGACGCUGGCUCGGCUACUCCAGGCUUUCGACAUCUCCAGGGUUUCAGAUUUGCCAGUAGAUACGGCCGGAUAUGAAGGUAAAGCCCCUCCAUUGGAGGCACUGAUGAUGCCCCGCCUGCCAAAUCUUGAUCUUUAUGGAUAGUGGACAAUAGAUUCCUUGGAUGGCGGAAGUUGAGUCUACACCUGUGACAUCAGGGCAAAGUUGCUGCAUUGUUUCAAUUUUAGUGCGCUCAUUGACUGAGAAUAAUUAUGACGUACUAUAGGUGGUUAAAUUUGAUAAAAGAAUGGGGACUCAGUAGGGUUGUAUUGCCAUUAUAAUAUUUUUAUAUAUUGAGAAGCUGCUCUUUUAUUUCGCGUACAUUCUUUCCAAUAAAGUUGCACACUAGCUUUUAAUAUGUAUAUAUACACACACACUCCAAAAACGAUCAUUCAGACUAAGUCAUCAUGUGAUGAUCGAAUUAACAUUUGAUAUGAAAACUAUUACUCCCUAAUGAAUGUAACAAGCUAUUUUCAGUGUAUCCCACACACAAGACCAAUUUGCUUUGUUCGAUUCCAACUAAUUUAAAUUCUAAUACACUUCUCACUAAUUCUUUUUAGAGGACAAAUUACAUGAGGAUGUUGGCUUUUUUUCUUUUUUAAACUAGUAAACAUGAGUAGUUGGUUUAACCUUUUCUCUUUUCGUUUGUAACUAAUACAAAACUUUCUAGAGCUAGCACUUAAACAUUUGAGCAAAUUAUCCAUUUGGCCCUUGAACUUUUAGUUUAAGUAAAAUUAAGCUCUCUAACUUAUUUUAGUCAACUUUCAGCCCUCAAACUUGUAAAAUUGGGAAUCCGUGACCCUUUUACCUAGUUUAUCCAGUUUUGCAACCAAAAAACCAAAUCACACGAAUGGCAAUAUGCUUUAAAGGAGGGCAUUUUCGUCUGUAUAUUCUAAGCAAAAAAUGAACAGCUCUAUCUUCUUCCCUUUCCCUAACCCAACCUGCCAUCGACGGAAGAUCAGCCUCCAAGAACCCCAAGACUUACAAAUACUACAGUAAUGCCAUCAUUCAGAGAUUCAGGGACAACCCUCCUCCCCCCCCAACAAAAAAAAUCACUUUUUUCGAAGUCCGCAAGACCAUCGUUGGAGACGUCGGCUCCAUUCGCGGGGUUUUUGAUUUCUUGGAGGUCUGGGGUUUGAUUAAUUACUCUCCCUCUUCUUCUUCUUCCUCUUCUAAUAAGGCUGCCGCUGCCCCCCCAACAACUCUCCCACAAUGACAGCAAGGACUCCUCCUCCUCCGCCACCAAAUCUGCUAAAUUCAAGGAGGAAGCAUACUCCUCAAUUCCAGCUGUGAACACCACAAUCUCAAAUUUAUUACUCAGGAACUCCAAAAAUUCUUCCACAAAUGGCCUUUUUAACACGAAGAAAUCCACUCUUUCUCCAUCUAUCACCGGCCUAACUAUGAAAUCAUACCUUUCUAGAGUAGGGCCCGGCUGGAAAUGCACCAGAGUCUUGUCCAAAUCAAGAAAGACAGUGUUUUUCUCUAGCGAAACGAGUGGUGGAAGUGCAGAACUUUUUUCGUCAUCAAAUAGAGCUCUUUUGAUGCUACUUUUGGGAUCUUCAGAACCCUUUUGAAGUAACUGAUACCCCCGUUUUCUUGGGCUCUUCUUCUUAAUUGGAGUUGAAAUGCGUGCUAAUUUGGAGAAAAUCUUGAUGAGGCGGUGGUGGCAAGUGUAAAUGGACUUGUUAAUCGACGCAAGCACCACUAAAGCAGCGGCGGAGGCAUUCUUUACGGGGGAUUUUUUCGGUGUUGGUGGCUGUGGUGAUGGUGGCGCGGAUUUUUUAUGGACUUUGUUGGGGUUUUCUUCACAAUCUUGGACACCAUUUUUGUUGGAUUUCGUGGAGAAGAUCGAGAAAUCAAGACGAAAGGGGAAAAGAAGAGUGGUUAAUUGAUGCGAUUUUUAGUGGGGGAAAGGAGCAUAUGGGGAAACCAGGAGAGAAUAGAGUGGGGAGUUUUAAAAAUUUUGCUUAGAGUCGGACUCAAUUAUCCCCAAUUUGCAGAAGCUUAAGAACUCUAGAAAUCUGUGCCUGUUUGGUUGGGUAAGGGAAAAGGAAGAAGAUGGAGUUGUUCAUUUUUGCUUAGAAGAUACGGACAAAAAUGCCCUUCUUUCCGGUUGCAAAACCGGAUAAACUAGGUAAAAGGGCCGCGGGUUUCCAAUUUUACAAGUUCAAGGGCUAAAAGUUGACUAAAAAUAGUUAGAGGGCUUAAUUUUACUUAAACUAAAAGUUCAAGUGCCAAAUGGAUAAUUUGCCCUAAAAAUUUUGUUAUCAUAUUACACCAGUGGACAGUAAAACCUAAACCCAACUCUUGUAUAAUUUUUCUUACCAAAAGCACUCUCUCACAUCAUGUAUAUGUCUACAUGGUCACUAACGGAUGUAAACAGGGUAGGGAGGGUAGUCACUCGUCCAAGAUUUUACAAAUCUUUUUGUGUAACUUAAAUAUGUUAAGGUUUUCAUCUAUGUCCUUAUAAAAAAUAAGAUUUUGCCCUCUCUCCCCCAAGAUAUGUGUGUGUGUGUGUGCCUUUUUCAAAUAUUAAAUGUUUUCACAUAUGUCCUAGAAAAAAUUAGACUUUCCCUCUUAAACUUUUUACAAAUAAUAAUUUCUAUAUCUCUCACACACACUUUCAUGUGAAUAUACUCUCUCGCACACAUCUCUUUGUCUCUUUGUCUCUCUUUCUCUCUCUCUCACACACACAUACACACAAUCACUCUCUCACACACACCCACCUGUAAUAGCAAACACUUCUUCUCCAAUGCACAUUUUAAAACAUAAUGUAUUUAUUACACAAUAAAAACACAAAUUUUUUCUUUACAAGAAAAAAAAUUUCACACAUAAAAAUAUCCUCACACACUCUCUUUCUCUCCCACACAUAUAAAUUCACUUUUCAUAUUAGUCUUCGAUUCAUCACUACUAAAAUUAGUAUUUUAAAAAUUAAUUUAACAUAAUAGUAAAAUAAGAUUUUGGUAUUAAACUUUAUAAUAUGCAUAAGAUAUAAUACUUCAAUCCGAUGGUCAAAUUCAACAAAUUUGACUUUAUGAAUUUAGCAAACUUGAAUUUCAUUAUCUAAAUUUCAAUCUUUAAAUGUUAGAUUUAAAAUUUCAAUUUUUUCAUACAUCCUUAAAGACUUUUUUUUCUCUUCCUGGCUGAAAUUUGUAAUCUUUAAAUUCAAAUUGUGUCGAAACCCUACAAUUGUAUACAUUGGGAAGCUGUCACAAUAAUGCUGUAAGUUAUUCUUGCCUUCCUGGUCUUGUUUUUAAGGGUAUAUUUGAUAAAACUAAAAUUUGAAAACUGAAAUUUAAAAUUUAAAGUUUGGAUCUAAUAAGUUACUGAAUUGUUAAUUAUUAAAAUCCUCACAUUUGAGAAUUUUUUUUUUAAUGAGAAUCUCUUUUUUUAUUAAAAAUUUUGGUAGAGUUUUCCCUUAUAAAUGGACGAAACUCCCUGCCAACAAACCCAAUCUCAUGAAAAUAUCCAUAUGACAGUUAUUUAAUACAAAUUUUUAGCUAAGCUAUAGAAAUUUUCUACAAAAUUAGGAAAAUCUAAAGUAUCCAUGAUAAUCUCCUCACGGACAGUAGCCGGCAAAUAACGAAAGUCAUAAAAAACAUCCUCUUGCUCCAAAUUUGCACCAAGGUUAGCUAGAUAAUCAGCGGGUUUGUUCGCCUCUCUAUAGCAAUGGGUUAUGUCACGGAAAUGAUGCUUGAAACUGAGCAAUUCAUCCACUUCCCGUUGCAGUCUCCAAGGGCAACCAUGUGUCCCUUGGAGUAUUUGCACCAAGACAAGUGAGUCAGAUUUAACAUGCAAGUCUUGUAAGUCUCGAGCAACAUAGAGCCGCACCCCAAAGAGUAUGGCCUUGAGCUCCGCAUGUAAACUGGUCAAUAAACCAAAAAAAUAGGAAUAACCAACGAUAAAUCUCCCUUCCCCAUCUUACACAACUCCCCUACCCCCACUAACUCCUGGGUUCCCCUUUGCACAGCCAUUCGAAUUCAACUUAUACCCUGCCUUAGGAGCUGACCAUGUAAUCGAUAAAAUAGAAACCCUUCUUUUCAGAGCUACCAAUGAAGAGUGAAGAACAUCUCAAGAGACGAAAGAACAUUUCCAGAAAAUUACAAUGUAGUAAAUCACAUAACUGUUGAAAUACCUGAUCUACCACCUCCGUCCACCCUAACUUCCUUCCAUCAAACAGUCCCCUGUUUCUCGCUUUCCAUAACUCCCAGCAAACGAGCAUAGGUAGUGUAUGAUAAACGAACUUGAGAUACACGUUGUGCCCCUUAAGCAGCCACCCUCGUAACACCACAUGUCUCAACGUGGACAUCAUAUCUAAAUCUCCUAGGACACCCUCAAAUCUAUUCCAGACCACCUUAGCUAAAUCUCCUAUUAAAAAUUUGUGAUUAACCUCGUCAUUUACAGGUUCAGAACAACAAUGACACUUAGACGGACCCUGUACCCCAAAUCUACGUAGCAGAUUCAUUAGGGGAAGACGCAAACGUAGUAACCAUAAUAUAAAGAAGGAGAUUUUGAUAGGAAACACCUUCAGCCACACAUGCGAAACCACUCAAGAAUAAUUAGAAGCCUGCGAAACAAGCGUGUAAACUGAAGAAAUCGAGAAUGAACCAUUCUGCGUUAAAACCCACACCAUCCUAUCAGAGCUAUGAGCGGAUGAAGGGGGAAUCUUCACAACUUGCCUAACCAACUCAGGCUCUAGAACUUGAUUAAGGAGUCGCAUAUUCCAUUGCUCUUGGAAGACAAAAUCUGACACAACAUGCUCGUGAAAAAUUUUCACCUGAUGACAUAUAGCCCCGGUUCCCAUCCAAUUAUCAUGCCAGAAAUCCAUCGAUCCCUCACCGAUGACCCAGGCAAAUAUGCUCUUCUGCCAACUGUUGAAUCGAACAUAACCUUUUUCAAGUGUGAGAAAGCGAAUAGCCCUCUUUUGCCAAACAAAGGUGCAUCCCUCUACUAUAUUUUGUUGUUAAAAAUUCAACCCAUAGGGAUCUCCUUUGUCGAAAGUUCCACCAAAACUUAAUGGAAAAAGCAUCAUAUACCUUCGCCAAGCUACGAACUCCAAUCCAUCCUUCUGAUGUGGGCGGCACAACUCCCCCCAACUUAACCAAUGAAAUUUCUGGCCUAUAUCCGUUGAGCUCCACAAAAAAUUUGCCAUCACCCUUUCUAAGGAAGCAAUGACUCCCUUCGGAGGAGAUGCCGCUGCUAACAGAUAGAUUGGCAUUGAAGACAGAACACUCUUUAACAGCACAAUCUUGCCCCCAAAUGAGAGGACCCGAUUCUUCCAUGAUAGGAUUCUGGUUGUUACCAUGUCGCAGAGUUCGGCAAAAUAAUGCAUCCAUCUUCUUCCAAUAUAAAGGGGGCAGCCAAGAUAUUUGAUUGAAAAAAAUUUAUACGAGAAGUCUGUUACCAUUUCAAUCAUUGCACGUCGUUGCAAAGACAAGGUGGGGUGCACCAAAUAACAACUCUUCCGACAAUUAACACGCUGCCCCGAAAAUGCACAGUAUCCAUCGAGUACUCCUUUGACCAAUGUUAUUAAAGCCUUAAGGCCGCUAGUGAAAAUGACCACGUCAUUUGCAUAGGCCAAAUGUGUGACCAUAGAACAGCCUCUAGGGACUUUGAAUGAUCUGAAUCUUCGAUGCUCCACCAGCGCAUUGAGUGAACGGGACAAGACCUCUGCACCAAUAACGAGCAAGGCUGGCGAAAUUAGGUCACCUUGUCUCAAACCCCGUGAGGGCUUAAAGAAACUGUGGGGUAAGCCAUUGACAAUGACAGAAAACCAAACAUUCGAUAUCAGUCUCCAUAUCAUAUCGAUCCAAACUUCGCUAAACCUAAACCGACGAAGCACUUGUAUCAAAAACAACCAUGACACUCUAUCAUAUGCCUUCAUCAUAUCCAACUUUGAGCAUCACAUUCCCUCCUCUAUUAGGUUUUUUAAUAUCAUUCAACAAUUCUUGCGCUAAUAGAAAAUUAUCUGCCAUUUGUCUGUCUUGUACAAAACCACUCUGCUGCGGUGAAAUAAUGUGAGGAAGAACCUUUGCCAAGCGGAAAGAUAAAAUCUUGGAGAUGACCUUAUUGAUAAAAUUGCAUAAACUUAUCAGGCGAUAUUGAGUGAAAUCUUGAGGGCAUUGUAUCUUGGGAGGUAAAACAAUUGAAGUAGCUGAGACACUUCUUGGCAACGUUGCGCCACAAAAGAAACUGACAAUGGCCCUUUGAACAUCCUUAGCGAUCACCUCCCAAGCAGAUGUGAAAAGCUUUCCCGUGAAACCAUCCGGACCCGCAGCACUCUCCUCGUCCAUUGAAAAAAUUACUUUCUUUACUUCCUGCAUGGAUGGAACCUCAGUCAACAUCUCAUUAUCCUACUCAGUGAUCAACUUUGGAAUAAUGUCUAGCAUGUUAUUUGAGGAUUGUCCUCCCUCGUUUUUAAACAAUUCUUGGAAGAACGAGACAGCCUCAUUACAAAUAUUUGACUCGCUAGUCACGCAGUCACCAUUUGUCUUCCUAAUUCUAUGAAUCACUGACUUGCUUCUCUUCUCUGUCACCACAGCAUGAAAAAAUUUCGUAUUCUUGUCCCCGUCUGAUAGCCAUUUGAUACGAGCCUUCUGCCUCCAGAAUUCUUCCUCAAUCACCAAAGUAUGCUUCAAUCUUGCACGUGCCUCUUGUACAGCCACCAACGACCUUUCUGACGGAUGGUUAUCAUGAUCUAUUUCAGCUUCCAGCACCCUCUAUUCUGCUGUCCGAAUUGCCAAAAAGAUGUCACCAACAGAUUCCCUUGACCAUAGUCUUAGUAUCUGUUUAACCCGUCGCAGUUUAGCCGACAAAACCUGAAGGGAGGAACCAAGGGAGGAAAUAGACCAACUCUCCUUAAUCACAUCCAUAAAACCUGGUUUUGUGGUCCAAAUAUUUAGGAAUCUGAAUGGCCGUGGCUUGUCAUCUAAUCUCGUUGAUGCGGAUAUCAAAAGAGGAGCAUGAUCAGAAGGGUCUCUCCCUAAGUGCUGCACUAAAAUAUUACUCUCCAUAAGCAUAGAAGCUUAGUUGAGCAAAAGCCUGUCUAGCCACUUCCAAACUCUUAAAAUACCCUGCCGAUUGUUACACAAUGUGUACCUAGACCCAGAGAACCCAGCAUCCCCAACUUUCACCAAUAACAUAAACUGUGAUAAUUCUAUCCCCUGAGCAUGUCUAAAAAGUAGGUCAUCCUUUUUUUCCUCUGCAUUUAAAAUAACAUUAAAGUCCCCCACAAGAAACCAUGGUUUUACCUCCGGCUUAUCAUUCAACAGCUCGAUCCAUAAACCUUCUCUCUCCUGGACGGUGCACUUCGAAUGAAUAAAUGAAAAGUAGAUCUCCUCAGCCAAUAAUUGGGAUCAGAGGCUUAAAGUGAGAUGUUGAUCCGACUCACCUAUCGUUUGGCAAUCAAAGAAAGAUUUAUAAAGCACCCAAAUGCUACCCCACAGGUUUGCAAUAGAAAAAUCCAUCUCCAUUUUCAUCCGAAUCAUAUCCAUGUUUGCAAUCGAGGUCUUAGGUUCACAAAUCGCUACCAAAGAGAUAGAGUGCAUUUUAACUAAUUUACGGAGUCUCUUAAGAUUAGGGGCAUGUGAGACACCCCGAAUGUUCCAAAAGAUAAAGUUAAUCAUUAGAUAACAUUGCAAAAGAAUUUUGUGAAGAAGUCACCUUAGAGCGUAACGUGCGGUCUGAUGGAAAAGGCAGCCGAGUACCUCUUUUCUUUGGUUGAGAUAAUGCAAGCAACCCAGCUUGUCGCAACGUGGAGUUCGAUAUGAAAACAGGGUCCAGAUUGAACGCAGCAAAGGAUAAACUAUCACCACUCAUCCUUGCUUUAUUAGAUUCUCCCCUUGGAGACAAAUUGCCCACCCACCCCUGCAACUCAUUAAGCUCUUCGUCCUCUGAUGCCACAGCAGCAAACCUAUUCAUUUCUCUCGCUGCACAUUGAUCCUCUGGUUCCCUUCCAAAAUCAGGCUGCGAUACAUCCUUAACCCCCUCCACUGACGAUACAUCGCUCUUUUCCAUGUCCACUACCGCUGCUCUCGCGCCCCGCAACUCGAUGGUCAGCUCACCUUGCAUUUCCUCUAGUUGCAAUUCGCUAUUGGGUUGCGAUGUCUUUGCACACCCACGCAAGCUAUCAGGUUGCCCCUCUACCAGACACUGCCGUGGUUGGCCCUCCCGCACAAAUGCCACCGCCGUUGUCCCAUGCGUUGUGGUACGAAGCUCUCCUCAAAUGCCCCAUCUUCUGCCUGCAUAGUCACACACUCACGUUCCUCCCUCUCCCUACCCAAACUCUCGCUACCCCCUGUCUUUCCCCCCACUCCCACCUGUGAUGCCUGAGGCACCAUCUCCCCCUCCGCCUGCGCACCAACCACAAACUGGGUGUUCAUAACCGUAGCGGAAGGCUCCUCCACUGGAGCUGCGGUCACGGACAGCGGUGCGACCACUGCGGCCAAAUGCCCACCCACUUCAUCCUAGUCAGUCUCCUUGCGUUGGCAUACCUCAUUUGGCUGUAGGCGAAACUUCCUAUCUUUCUCACCCUCCGUUUUAGAUACCCGGAGGUCUGGGUGCAAGACAUGGCACCCCUCCACUCCAUGUCCCUGCUGAAAACAAUGGGAGCAGUAUUGAGGGAGAUUUUCAGGAAUGAAGCUCUGCCAAAACCCAUCGUUUUCACUGUUCCCAAUCCAUAUACGUGAUGGCCGAGGCUUGAGCAGGUCAACCUCCACACAGACUCUUGCACAACUUGGACAAGUCGUCUCCGACGUUGCCACAUCCACCAAUAGCGGAUUACCCAGCGUUGAGACGAUCUGAAAGAGAACCUCCUUAUUGAAGUAGUGCACCGGCAGUUUUGGGAGCUGGAACCAAAUGGGGGCGAUAGACGGUUCCUUAUCCACAUGAAACGCCUUCGACCACUUGAAGACUCUCAUCGGAUAGCCAUGGACAUACCAGAUGCUUCUGGCCCAAAGUCUAUGAAAAUCAACUUCAUUCCCCAGCUUUAUGAACACAUGCCGUGAGUCAAGCAAACCCACCCAAGCAACUUCUCGUAAAUCUAAUAAGAGGAAGAACCUGCAUAUCUUCUCCAUUUUUUGUCUUCCCCUGAGAAUUUCCCCACUAGGGCAUACUUGUAAGGAAUGGCCAGCCGAUUGAGAUCCUCCUGUGAAAACAUGAGAGCUAAUUCCCCCUUAUGGGUUGCAGACGAUGCAUGGAUAGUUAGAGCCGGCUGUGAAGAACCGGCUGAGAAUAAAGCAGCAAAUGAUUUGCGUUGGAAGGCUUGAGAAUGAGAGGGACGCCCCCCAGCAGGCAGCUGGAGGGUAGACAUGGCUGUGGAAGACAACCUACUAGCGGCGCACAAGACGCAAACGUUGCUGUUCCUAUUUUCUAAAACUAUAAGAAAACUUUUUUCAAAUCAGAUUUAACUUGGACAUUUUCUCAAACAUGUGGAAGGCAUGAUUUUAGCUCACAUGCUUCUUGAAAUUUGGCCGAAUAUAAAGCCCAAAAUUUUUUGCCAACAAUCAAAGGUUGAAAAUAAGAAAAUGUAUGAAAGGAAUUGUAAGUGCUUUUGAUAUUCGAGAAAAUUCAGUAGAAUAUCAGUAUAGCAGCACCUUCAUAAGUGAUGGAAAGUCUGAAGCCUUCGUUGUGAAACUCUAAGACUAUGUUAGUUCAAGGGUCUGAUUAGGGGAAGAAGGAAUCAGUUUCUUUCAUGAAUUUCUGCACCAUCGAGCUGAUCAACUUUCCCUAUUUCAACUCUGAAUCUUGGAGCGGCGGGGUACAAGUGAAGUUAGAAUAAAAUAAAGUAAUCAAAUUCAGGAAAGUUAUAAAAGUUAGGUUAUGUGAUUGAAUGAUAAAUUAUGCGCAGAAUUUCAAUGUAUAUGUAUUCAUUACAUUUGAGAAUAUUUUACAUUAAAUGAUAAGUGAAUAAGUUAUUACUUAUUUUUGGAGUAAGUUUUACCUAGAAAAUUACGUAACACUUAAUUAAUUAAGAUUCUCUAUUUUUAGUUAUCCAACGCAUCUGAAUAUAUUAAAUUCUGAUAAUAUUUUGCAUUAAAUGAUGGUGAAUUAUCACGUAUUUUUUGAAAUUUUGCCUAGAAAAUUAGGUGUCACUUAAUUAAUUAAAAUAUUUUAUUUUUAGUUGUCAAACGUAUCUAAAUAUAUUAAAAUAUGAACCCAUUAAGUACUAAAUUGGGUUAUAAAACAAGGUCUAAGUCACCUUUUCAAUCUAUGCUAAUAUAAAAGAUCAACUCUAGUUUCAUUAUUUAUUGAAUUUUCAUGUAUUUAAUAAUAGGACAUAUAUUGGAUAUCUCAUGAUUCACACCUCACGUAUGAAAAAUAUAAUGUGUAUCUAAGAAUUAAUAUGUUACCAAACCAAAAUAAUGCAAUAGCAUUACUUACCCCACCCACCAACCCAACUAAAUAAAAAACAAAAAAAGAAAUGGAUUAGCAUCUUAAACUUUACUUAUUUGUGGAUGAUGCUGAUAAUUCAGCCCCACAUCACGAACUAUAUAGUUUGAAAGCUCUCUGAGUAGAAACUGCAAUAGAAUUCAGCUAUAGAGGUCCAUACCAUACCAUACAAGUGAAAAUUAAAGAGUAGGGGGAGAAUGGCAGAAGAGAAUGCGUGGGGUAUACAUAUACAAUUAGCUCAUUCUACAAUCAAGUUUUACAUUUAUACUUCUUAAAUGUCCCACACGCGAUUUAUCGCAAGUAUACGAAUCGUGAGCGAGUAUAGGGUAUUAAGGGUCGAUCCCAGAGGGAAGAUUGCAAUUACCGGUGUUUUUCGAACUCCUUUUGACGGGUAUUUUACAUACGUACAAGUUAAAAAAAAUCGAAUUACAUCCGUUCACUGCAAGUAUACAGGUCAACAAGUAGUUUAGGGUAUAUAUCGGGUCGAUCCCACAGGGAAGAGUGAACAAUUACCGGUAUUACUAAAGUUUCUCUAUUAUUUAGACUAUCAAUGAAUUAUAACAAAUUUAACCUACUGAAAUUAUACAAAAUAACAAAUAAAAGCUCCUUAGGUUGUGGUAUCCCUAACUAAUGCAAAUGCUAUAUUUGGAUCAUUGAGUACUACAUCUAGGCUAGUUAUGGUGUAAUUUCCUUAGACAUUUGAAUCCUACUUUCGUAGUGAAUCAAUUAUACUUAUAACUAAUCCAUACCUAUUCUCAUGGUUAUGAAAUUAGCUACAAGUUUAUUUCUUCAGUGAAAUUACAUGAAAUGAAUCACUAAAAACCACAUAGGUGCACCUCUACUUUCGUGAGUGUACUCUCUAUGUUUAGCACUUCUUGAACUAGUGUUAAAUCUCAAUUUUCAUUGCAGUAACAACACCUUAGAUAAUCACAAUUAAUGGUACCAGAUUAAUCAUGAUUUAAAGAGCCAAAGUGAUAAAUAACUUGCUCAAAUCAUAGCAAUCAAAUAACCAUAAACACUAACAAUUAUAGAAAGUUCAACCAAUCCCAAGGCUUAAACUUUAGAGAUACAUAUUAAACACAAAAUCCAGAACUUUUAUAUUAACUAAACUUGGAAUCAAGUACAAAAGAUAAAGAUUUGGAAGGAAUACAACCCUUGUCACAUGAGCUUUCUUCCUUGCCUUCUUCAUCCUCCAUCUUCUUCUUCAUCUAGCUAAUAACAAGAAUGGAUGAACUAUCUUACUCUAUACUAAGCUAAACUAACACUAAGAGAAUGGAAAAGCUACAUUUUUGCAGACUCCAAGCUUCUCCCGUAUAUCAUGUUUUUCUCUGGUUGCUCUCUAUAUAAAACUGAUAUGAGGCUCCUUUCCACCGGUCCAAAUUUGCUGCUAUGAUUCUUCAAAUCUCCUUUUGUUAAGAUAGUUAAAAACCAUUGUUUUUGACUUGAAAAUAAGUCAUAUUGUCUGCCAUUUUGUCUUCUGAAGCAUGUGCACCGAAUUCUCUUGCAACUUAUAGCUGGAAAGUAGUCUGAACACAAGAGAAUUGACUGAGUAAAUUGCAGAAUUUCGGCCAGAAAACACGCCUACAUAAAACGCGGCUUGGAGUCGCGUUUUGUCAACUCGCGUUUUCAAUGCUGUGUUUUUGGCUUCAUUUCAACUGCAAUUUUCUCUAUGAUUGAGGCCGAACUAGCUUUUGUGUAAAACACAAAAGUUUUAGCCCUUUGAAUUAGAUUUCCAAUGCUUCAAAAAUCAUCCAAAUAGGAGCUUUGUAGACUGAGAUAUGACCAAAAUACUAAUACCUGGUCAAACCCCUGUUUUCAACUUUGGACAACAGUGUUGAAUUUUGGUAUUUCGACUUUUUGACUGAGUAAUCGGCUGAAUUGGAUUCUGAUGUCUUCAUACCGAAUUCAGAUCUAUCUCUUAGCUUCAAAAUGGUAUAAAAAUCACCUCAAUCCAAUAUGUGUAGCUCCAGAUAUAGUCAAAAUACGAGAAUGUGUCAGAGUUGUCAAAACUGACUAUUCUUGAUUCAAAUUGCAUUUCUCCUUUUACCCUUCAUAUUUUAUUUUCACCACUUUAAUCCAUCUUCAAUCAUCCAAAUAUCUUCUCAAUGCACUUCAUUUGAUGAUUGAAUCAUUAAACCUACAAAAUAUGAAGUUUUUAUCAUAAAAAUCCAUAAAAUGCAAUGUUUAGCCACUUUAACAUAAAAUGUUGUUUUUUACCAAAACCUUAGUUAUUUUAGUUAUAAAACUAAAUAAUCAAACCAAAAUUAACUAAUAAAACACACUAAAAAAUACGUAAAAUAUAUUCUUAUCAAAUACCCCCACACUUGAACCAUUGCUUGUCCUCAAGCAAUAAGAAAUACAAACCAACAAUGAUCCAAAAUUUGAAAAUAAACAUAUGUAGUAUUUCAACUCUGUUUCCUCAAAACAAAGUAAAUAACCAUUAUGCAAUUAUUCAAUUAAGUUCAAGUACUCAUAAUAUCAAGUAAAGGAGAGCCAAUUAUACCGUCAUUACAACAAAUUCAAAUCAAUUUUUCAUCCUUACCCAAUCUUACAAGUAAGUAACUCAUAUGGUCAAUAAAAUGCUUCUGAAACUCAUGAUCAUCUUUUUAUUCCACUUAAACAGAUAUUUAUUCAUUAACGUAGCUAAAUAUUACUUAAGUUGUGAAAGUGUCUUUUGACGCGAGAAUCGACAUUUUUAGAUGAAGAUCACCGGUUACUCAACACUUCACAUACUCAAAUUGCUUUGCAUACUCUUAAUUCAAGUACCGUUUUACGCGAAAGUCGACAUUUUUAGAUGAAAACACCCGGUUACUAAGUACAAGAAUCAUUGGAAUAGAACAAAUCUUAUUCUAUUUUCGUCUUUUUCUUUUUUUCAUCAUUUUUUCUUCAUUUUUUCAUUUUUUUAUUUUUUUAUUUUUUUUUAUUUUUUAGUAAAGAUAAUAACAUUCCCCUGAAAACAUAAUCAUGAGAAGAGUAUUGCAAUUAUUGACCAUAUUUAUCACUUAACUUAUAAAAUCAAAUAAAGCGAAGAAAUUUCAUCAAAUAUGCAAAAAAAUAUUGGCAUAAUUUUCUCCACUUUAAAAUAUAUACUUUCCUACAAAUGCAAAAAUUAUAAUCACAUAAUAGUCAUUUCCAAGUUAAAUGAGAAAAGAAGUGCUUAAAUCACAUAUAUUUAUUUCAAAUGUAGAAGGAAUUUGAACUACUAAUGGUAUGGAACUUGUUACCCCUUGGAUAAAAUCGAAAAAAUUUAAAAAAUUUUUGGGCAAAUUCACAAAUUUGGACAAGAUUUUGAAAAAAUUUUGAAUUUUAACACAAGUCUAAUAUUUGCAACUAAUAAUUCAAUCACAUACAAUGUAUAUAAUCUCAAUUCUUCCCCCCACACUUAACAUACACAUUGUCCUCAAUGUGUAAAAAGAAAAAUCAAGAUAAAGAAAGUAAUACUCCCCUAUGACGUGAUUGACUAUGAAGCUUCAAGGUACGUUGUUCGUCUGUCUUCAUCGCUUCAUGAGUUCCAUUUGGUAACCAUUAGUGAUAUAAACCUAAAAAUGGAAAAUGAGAAAAAGUGAUAACAAAGGCUAAGGAAAACAAAAUGGGGAUCCGUAACUUCAAACCCUUGUUUUCGUGAUGUACCUAUAAAAAAUACACAAUAAGCAACUCAAGGUACAAGAAAAUAUAUGAGGAAAAGAAGAAAAAGAGAAUCAAGGAAGCUGCAUUUUUUUUUUCAAAAAAAAAAAAAAGUGCUCAGAAAACGUGGCUCAAGAAAACGCGCCAUCAAGCCGCGUUUUGUGAAGUCGCGUUUCUUCACAUAUCUUGCAGGAUCGAAAACGCAGCAACGAUUAAAAACGCGACUUCAUGUCGCGUUUCUGAAGGCGCGUUUUCGAUUUUUGAUCAGGCUGGAAAACGCGACUUGGUAGAAAACGCGACUUUCUGUCGCGUUUUGAAGGCGCGUUUUCUUCAUUAUGGGGGCAGAAUUGAAAACGCGUUUCUACGAAAACGCAAUUCAGUGGCGCGUUUCCUUAAAAAAUGUGUUUUCUGCUGCGAAAUUUAGCUGAAAUUUAACUUUUGAAUAAUUACAAAUGAUACCCCAAUUUUCUAAAAAAUGCAUCAUAGAUCAUUUGUUUGCUAAAAUACUCAAUACAUGCACAUGUAAAAUGAUCAAAAUAUGCAUUUUAACCCCUUCUAACAAAUCAAAAACAACAAUUACUCAAAUCGAGGGGUUGAGUUCCUUGAUCAAACUUCGCCUUUUUCACCUCAUUUGGUCACUUUUGCUUUCAUUUCCAAUACCUAUAAAUGAAAAAUAACGAAAUAACUCAAACACAUACUUUAAACAUAAAAUCACACCAAAAUAACAUAAAUAGCCAAAAUAUUGAGUUGCCUCCCAAUAAGCGCUUUUAUUUAUAGUCGUUGGCUCGACUAUUGAAUCUCAUUUUUCAAGGAGGCUUUGUUAAUGAAUAAUCCACCAUUUUAGAUCGUGGUGGAUUAUUAAAAGGUGACUUUAUAGCAAAAGUCACAUGUUCUAAUGAUGUGAGAGAUGGAAGUGGCUUACCUAUUCCAAGUGUUUCAUAAAUAUUACCUUGAAAAUACACCACUUGAGAACUUACCAACGGGAAUGCCAUAAGAGUAUCUUGGGUAGCAAUACCCUUAGAACCUAUACUUUCCAUGCACUCCUCAAGAGGGGUGAAAAAUGAGUCAUUAAAACUCACAUCUUGAGGCUCAAAGUUAGUGCCAAAGAUAUUAUCUUGUGAAAUGGAUAUUUGCUCAUUAAAACACACUUGAAUUCAUCAUUUUCAUCAAAAUGCAACCCAUUUUCACAUACAACAUUCCCACCAUUCAUGCUAGGAUCAUUUUGCAAAUUAUUAGAGGAAAUAACUUCACACAAUGCAUUCAAUUGCUCAUGUAUUCUAUCAAAGUGAGAAGUUAUUUCAUCUAUUUUUUCCUCAAUCCUAUCAAAACGGUCGGAAGUUGCAUUUGCUAGCUUUUCUAUUGCUGAAUCAAAUUGAUUAGAAAAAUUUCUACAGCUAGCUCCCAAGAUGCAUUAGAAUCAUUAGCUAAUGGUUCACUUUCUAACUCCCAAGGUAGAGGUGCAUUAGCUAACUUCUCUAUUGCCAACUCCCAAGAUGGUUUGGAUUCAUAUUGGACACUUUCAGAUUGGUAAUCAGAAAAAUAUGAAUAAUCACUAUAAGUACAUUGAUUAUCCCAACCAUAAGCAGGAGAAUUGCUCCAAUUAUAUUGUUCAAAACAGGGAUUGUAAUGCUCUAACUUAUCAUAAUAAUCCUACAUUUUGUGCUUGCAUACAUGUAUUAGUAGUAUGAUAACUUCCACACAAGUCACAAAUCACAUGAUAAGAAUUAAAAGCAUUAACAUUCCUCCCUUGCUCAAUUUCAUGCAUAAUUGUGUCCAUUUGAACUUGUAACAUCAUUACAUCAAAUUUUGCCUUUAAGCACUUCAAACCAUUUUCAAAAGACAUACCUUCAGUAAUUUCUUGGUUACCUCUGUUGAAGGAGUUUUGCACUUGGUAACCAUCCAUUGCCAAUCUUCCACUUCUCAAGCUUUGUCCUCCAAAUUCACCUACCCUCCUCAUCACCUAAAAUUACUUUUAAACAAUCUCAAAAGCAAGAUUAGUUAAGAAAGAUAGAUUCCAAGACACAAACUAAAACAGAAAAAAUAAAAUAAUAAUAAUAAAAAAUGACUAAAAAUGACAUAAAACACACAAGAUACAACAAAAACAACAAAAAUAAGAAAAAUUGUCUAAAUUAAUAAAGUUGCUCUUCACACCGAUAUUGCCAAAUCUUCCCCGGCAACGGCGCCAAAAACUUGACGGGUAUUUUACAUACGUACAAGUUAAAAAAAACCGAAUUACACCCGUUCACUGCAAGUAUACAGAUCAACUAGUAGUUUAGGGUAUAUAUCGGGUCGAUCCCACAGGAAGAGUGAACAAUUACCGGUAUUACUAAAGUUUCUCUAUUAUUUAGACUAUCAAUGAAUUAUAACAAAUUUAACCUACUGAAAUUAUACAAAAUAACAAAUAAAAGCUCCUUAGGUUGUGGUAUCCCUAACUACUCAUGCAAGUGCUAUAUUUGGAUCAUUAAUUACUACAUCUAGGCUAGUUAUGGUGUAAUUUCCUUAUGCAUUUGAAUCCUACUUUCGUAGUGAAUCAAUUAUACUUAUAACUAAUCCAUACCUAUUCUCAUGGUUAUGAAAUUAGCUACAAGUUCAUUUCUUCAGUGAAAUUACAUGAAAUGAAUCACUAAAAACCACAUAGGUGCACCUCUACUUUCGUGAGUGUACUCUCUAUGUUUAACACUUCUUGAACUAGUGUUAAAUCUCAAUUUUCAUUGCAGUAACAACACCUUAGAUAAUCACAAUUAAUGGUACCAGAUUAAUCAUGAUUUAAAGAGCCAAAGUGCUAAAUAACUUGCUCAAAUCAUAGCAAUUAAAUAACCAAAUAAUAAACACUAACAAUUAUAGAAAGUUCAACCAAACCCAAGACUUAAACUUUAGAGAUACAUAUUAAACACAAAAUUCAGAACUUGUAUAUUAACUAAACUUGGAAUCAAGUACAAAAGAUAAAGAUUUGGAAGGAAUACAACCCUUGUCACAUGAGCUUUCUUCCUUGCCUUCUUCAUCCUCCAUCUUCUUCUUCAUCUAGCUAAUAACAAGAAUGGAUGAACUAUCUUACUCUAUACUAAGCUAAACUAACACUAAGAGAAUGGAAAAGCUACAUUUUUGCAGACUCCAAGCUUCUCCCGUAUAUCAUGUUUUUCUCUGGUUGCUCUCUAUAUAAAACUGAUAUGAGGCUCCUUUCCACCGGUCCAAAUUUGCUGCUAUGAUUCUUCAAAUCUCCUUUUGUUAAGAUAGUUAAAAACCAUUGUUUUUGACUUGAAAAUAAGUCAUAUUGUCUGCCAUUUUGUCUUCUGAAGCAUGUGCACCGAAUUCUCUUGCAACUUAUAGCUGGAAAGUAGUCUGAACACAAGAGAAUUGACUGAGUAAAUUGUAGAAUUUCGGCCAGAAAACGCGCCUACACAAAACGCGGCUUGGAGUCGCGUUUUGUCAACUCGCGUUUUCAAUGCUGUGUUUUUGGCUUCAUUUCAACUGCAAUUUUCUCUAUGAUUGAGGCCGAACUAGCUUUUGUGUAAAACACAAAAGUUUUAGCCCUUUGAAUUAGAUUUCCAAUACUUCAAAAAUCAUCCAAAUAGGAGCUUUGUAGACUGAGAUAUGACCAAAAUACUAAUACCUGGUCAAACCCCUGUUUUCAACUUUGGACAACAGUGUUGAAUUUUGGUAUUUCGACUUUUUGACUGAGUAAUCGGCUGAAUUGGAUUCUGAUGUCUUCAUACCGAAUUCAGAUCUAUCUCUUAGCUUCAAAAUGGUAUAAAAAUCACCUCAAUCCAAUAUGUGUAGCUCCAGAUAUAGUCAAAAUACGAGAAUGUGUCAGAGUUGUCAAAACUGACUAUUCUUGAUUCAAAUUGCAUUUCUCCUUUUACCCUUCAUAUUUUAUUUUCACCACUUUAAUCCAUCUUCAAUCAUCCAAAUAUCUUCUCAAUGCACUUCAUUUGAUGAUUGAAUCAUUAAACCUACAAAAUAUGAAGUUUUUAUCAUAAAAAUCCAUAAAAUGCAAUGUUUAGCCACUUUAACAUAAAAUGUAGUUUUUUACCAAAACCUUAGUUAUUUUAAUUAUAAAACUAAAUAAUCAAACCAAAAUUAACUAAUAAAACACACUAAAAAAUACGUAAAAUAUAUUCUUAUCACCUUUAUUAUCUAGACUACCAUAAACAUAUAAAAGUAAUGAAAAUUAGUACUAGAAAACUCCUAGAGAUAUGGAAUUUCCUUAUUACUCUUGCAAAUGAGAUUACCGGUUAAGUGAAUGCUAUUAUCUUAGUUAGUUAUGACGUAAUUUCCUAAUGUAUGUGAAACCUACUAUCGUAGUGAAUCAACUAUAUUUAUAGUUAAAUCAUACCUACUCUUGUGGUUAUGAAUUAACUACAAGUUCAUUCAUUCUAUAAAAUUACAUGAAACAAGUCACUUAAGCCACAUAGGUGCACCUCUACUCUCGUGAGUGUACUCCCUAGGUUUAUCACUUCCUUGAACUAGUGUUAAAUUCCAAUUCUCAUUGCAAACUUAACACUUUUAGAUAAUCACAACUAAUGGCCGGUAAUCAUGAUUAGAUAAGCAAAAGUGAUAAAUAACUUGCUCAAAAUAAUACCAUCAAAUAACCAAGUAAAUAUCACUAACAAGAUAUAGCAAGUUCAACCAUAACUCUAGGCAUAAACUUUAACUAAACAUGAUAAAAACACAAAACCAAACUUGUAUUAUAGUUAAACAUGAAAUCAAAUACAAAAGAGAAAGUGAUAGGAAAGAAGUCACCCUUGUCACAUGAGCUUUAACUCUCCAUCUUUACUCCUCCAAUUUUCAUCCAAAUCUAACUACAAAUACAAGAAGGAAACACUACACUAAUUACUCUAUACUACCCUAACUAAUGAACUAAGAAAACUCUAGUGAAGACUACAUACUUUUGGAGUUUCUUUAGCCUUCCAAAGUUUUUAAAAUAUCCUCCAAUGGCUACUAUUUAUAUAGGACUUUAAGCCACAAGUGAGUUGUUUCUUGAAUUGGCAAAGUUGGCUUUUGAACUCUCAAAGAUUGCUUCUCAAAGUUUCCAUGCUCAUCUGAUCAUUUCCAGCCGGAAUCUUUGCAGAAAAAGUGGUCAAAAAGGUUGUGUGAAAAGAGCAUAAGUUGCAGAGCAAGUUGCAGCCGAAAUCCACUAAAAUGCAGGCAGAAAACGCAUUUUGACGCCCGUUUUGAUGCCCGUUUUGCUCUUUGCAAGUUUACACUUUUUUGGGCAGAAUUCAUUCUUACUCUGUUUUUGGUCCAACUUCAAUUGAUAUUUUCUUGAUGUUAGAGGCUGAACUAGCUCUUGUGUGAAACAUGAAAGUUGUAGCCCUUUGAGUUAGCUUUCCAAAUGCAUCAAGAAUCAUCCAAUUUGGAGCUAUGUGAACUGAGAAAUGACCCAAAUAACCUUGACUGGUCACAGCCUUGUUUCAGCUUUCGACCAUGAAAAUAUACUUCUGUAUUUCGACUUUUUGACAAGAAAGACAAUUGAACUGGACUUUGAUGUUUUCAUACCAAAUGUAUAUAUGUCUCUUAACUUCAAAAUGUUAUAAGAAUCACUUCAAUCCGAUCAUUGUAGCUCAAGAUAAGUCGAAAUACCACAAGAUGUGAAAGCUGUGAAACUUACUUCCUUUUGUUUUUGAUUGCAUUUCCUCUUUCACACUUCAUAUUCUCUUUUUAUCACUUUAAACCAUCAUCAAUCAUCCAAUUAUCUUCUUAAUUCCUGCCAUUUGACGAUUGAAUCAUUAAACCUACAAAACAUGAGGUUUUCACCAUAAAAAUCCUUCGAAAUGCAAUCUUUGCCACUUUAAACCAUCAAAUGCAUAUUUUCACUAGAAUCCUAGUUAAUUAGCUAUAAAAAUAGUUAAAACACACCAAAACUAAUUAAUAAAACACACAAAAAACACGUAAAAUAUCUACUUGUCACAAUGCAUCACAGAUUGUGUCGAAAAAUCAUGUCACAGGAUAUCUAAAAGAGAGUGAUCUUGAGGUGAAAAAUAGUCCCCAUGUAUCCAAAGCUGUGCUAGUGAAAAACCUCUACUUGGCAUGCGAUCCUUACAUGCGCCAUUUGAUGUCCCCUCCCAACACCGAUUUCCCAUCUUUGCUUACGCCAUUGCCCACAGGAUCGCUAAGAUAAUCUGUAAGUUCCUUCAUUUAUUUAAUUUUUUCCACAAGAAGUCAGACCUUAUUUUACUUUUGUCCCUUCUUCUACAAUUUUUUUUUUGUUUCUUUGCAUUUUUUUCUCUUUGGCUGACUUGUUGAAGAUAUUAAAGGAAAAUAACUAAUGCACAAAAAUUGGCAUAUUUGUUAUCGAGAUAUCAUUUUUCAAUUAUGCUCAUUAUCUCGACAUUAAUUUGUUCCAUGUUCUUGUUUAAAAAGUAGGAUUUUUUUUUCUCCUUUUUUUUUGGGUUGGUAGGACAAAAAUCUGGGACAAUAACAUGCACUACAUGUCAUGUCUAUUCAAACUAAGACAUUGCCACAGUGACGGAUUCCUUACCUCUUUUAUUAUUAGUAUGAUUAUUAAUAAAUAUGCUUCAUUGUACUUACCAUAUGUAUGUUGUUAUUGCCCAGUAGAGGGUUGUUUGCAAAAAAAUGUAUUUGCUUACAUUACAAACACAUUUUUUGACACAUCUCACAUACAUCACAUCCGUAAAAAAUGUUACAAUAAUUAUUUCAAAUAAUAUUUUAAAUGAUCCGCAAUCCAAACACACUAUCAUUUUUUAAUUUUGCAAAUGUUUUCCGGCUCCGCCAUUGCCUUGGCAUUGAAUGCAACACGAAUGAAACCUGAUUCAGCAUAAGUCACUUUUCAAGGAAUAUUUGCAAGCCUCAUUUUGAUCUUAAAGAUCUGCUGCUGACUGUUUCACUGAUUUCAUCAGGUACUAGUUGGUUAUGGAGUGGCCAAGGUGAUAAAAUCAGGCGAUCCAGCAUUUGAUGAGGGAGAUUACGUGUGGGGAAAAGUCGGUUGGGAAGACUGCAGCAUGAUUCAUAACACUAAUCUGCUGUUCAAGAUAAGAUAUACAGACAGAUGUUCCUCUCGCAUACCAUGCGGGCAUUCUAGGUACUUUAAAUUGACCAUGAAUUAUUGGUACAGGUAAUUGCUAGUAGUAUAAAUUGUAAUGUCCUUUACAUUGACCAUGAACUAUUGGUACAGGUAUGCCAGGGGUUGCAGCCUAUGUUGGUUUUCAUAAGGUAUGCACCCCUAGGGAAGGGGAGGUGGUGCAUGUUUCACGUGAAAUAAUGACAUGUUUUUUGACAACCAUUAUCAUAAGAAUCUGGUGUUGACCCACAACAGUGGUCAUAUCUUGUGCCCUGAAUCAAGAAAACUGAGUUGUCUACCAAAUUUAAUAAAAUGAUAAGGACUUAUUUACUCACAUAAUACGAUUCGAAUCUAGUGUGGCGUGACAAAAGCAAAUUGAGUGAAAAAGAACUUGAUGGAGAGCGGUGAUUAAAUUAAUAACGCAAUUUGAUUAGAUCAAGAAAUUUACUUAUUUGACUAUUAGCUUAAUUAAAUUUCAUAAGUCCUCGUGGUUCACAUAUGCUUGCCAAAGAACUUCUCAGAAUCCACCUAAUUAAUUUAGAAUUGGAUUAAAAAUUUAAGAUGUCAUGUAUUACGUAUACUGCAUUUUCGAACGCUUUAGCCCUUGAUGUUCCAUAGAUCCAAAGAGGAAGUCAUCUCGCAUGCGGAAUUCCUCCUCAAUUUUAUAUUUGACAAGAAUUUUAUGUUUUCAAGAUAUAGCAAAUACAAAAGUAUAAAGAAUGAUUUAUAAGGGUUUACUUUUUUAAACAAUUUUGUCAUCAUAACUUGUUGUUUUGUCAUAAGGAAUUGAAGAAAAUGGUCUACGAAUUAUCUCAUUGAAGAAAUAAACUAGCAGCUGGAACACUAUUAGUAAAAAGGAGAGAGGAGUCGAGUAAUAGUGCUAAAUUAUAGAUAUCCUAGAAUACUUAAAAAUUUAGCCCUACAUCACGAACUAUAUAGUUUGAAAGCUCUCUGAGUAGAAACUGCAAUAGAAUUCAACUAUAGAGGUUCAUACCAUACCAUGCAAGUGAAAAUUAAAGAGUAGGGGGAGAAUGGCAGAAGAGAAAUUGGGCAAUGCAAUAUGAAGUGCGUGGGGUAUACAUAUACAAUUUACUCAUUCCACAAUCAAGUUUUACAUUUAUACUUCUUAAAUGUCCCACACGCGAUUUAUCGCAAGUAUACGAAUCGUGAGCGAGUAUAGGGUAUUAAGGGUCGAUCCCAGAGGGAAGAUUGCAAUUACCGGUGUUUAUCGAACUCCUUUAUUAUCUAGACUACCAUAAACAUAUAAAAGUAAUGAAAAUUAGCACUAGAAAGCUCCAAGAGAUAUGGAAUUCCUUACUACUCUUGCAAAUGAGAUUACCGGUUAAGUGAAUGCUAUUAUCUUGGCUAGUUAUGGCGUAAUUUCCUAAUGUAUGUGAAACCUACUCUCGUAGUGAAUCAACUAUACUUAUAGUUAAACCAUACCUACUCUCGUGGUUAUGAAUUAACUACAAGUUCAUACCUUCUAUAAAAUUACAUGAAACAAAUUACUUAAGCUACAUAGGUGCACCUCUACUCUCGUGAGUGUACUCCCUAAGUUUAUCACUUCCUUGAACUAGUGUUAAAUUCCAAUUCUCAUUGCAAACUUAACACCUUUAGAUAAUCACAACUAAUGGCUGGUUAAUCAUGAUUAGAUAAGCAAAAGUGAUAAAUAACUUGCUCAAAAUAAUACCAUCAAAUAACCAAGUAAAUAUCCCUAACAAGAUAUAGCAAGUUCAACCAUAACUCUAGGCAUAAACUUUAACUAAACAUGAUAAAAACACAAAACCAAACUUGUAUUAUAGUUAAACAUGAAAUCAAAUACAAAAGAGAAAGUGAUAGGAGAGAAGUCACCCUUGUCACAUGAGCUCUAACUCUCCAUCUUUACUCCUCCAAUCUUCAUCCAAAUCUAACUACAAAUACUAGAAGGAAACACUACACUAAUUACUCUAUACUACCCUAACUAAUGAACUGAGAAAACUCUAGUAAAGACUACAUUUUUUUGGAGUUUCUUUAGCCUUCCGAAGUUUUUAAAAUAUCCUCCAAAGGCUGCUAUUUAUAGAGGACUUUAAGCCACAAGUGAGUUGUUUCUUGGUUGGCAAAGUUGGCUUUUGAACUCUCAAAGAUUGCUUCUCAAAGUUUCCAUGCUCAUUUGAUCAUUUUCAACCGGAAUCUUUGCAGAAAAAGUGGUCAAAAAGGUUGUGUGAAAAGAGCACAUCCAAAGGCUGUUAUUUAUAGAGGACUUUAAGCCACAAGUGAGUUGUUUUUUGGUUGGCAAAGUUGGCUUUUGAACUCUCAAAGAUUGCUUCUCAAAGUUUCCAUGCUCAUCUGAUUAUUUUCAGCCUGAAUCUUUGCAGAAAAAGUGGUCAAAAAGGUUGUGUGAAAAGAGCACAAGUUGCAGAGCAAGUUGCAGCCGAAAUCCACUAAAAUGCGGGCAGAAAACGCGGCCUGUGCCCGCGUUUUGACCCCCGUUUUGCUCUUUGCAGGUUUACACUUUUCUGCGCAGAAUUCAUCCUUACUCUGUUUUUGAUCCAAAUUCAAUUGAUAUUUUCUUAAUGUUAGAGGCUGAACUAGCUCUUGUGUAAAACAUGAAAGUUGUAGCCCUUUGAGUUAGCUUUCCAAUGCAUUAAGAAUCAUCCAAUUUGAAGCUAUGUGAACUGAGAAAUGACCAAAUAACCUGGACUGGUCACAACCUUGUUUCAGCUUUCGACCAUGAAAAUGUACUUCUGUAUUUUGACUUUUUGACAAGGAAGACAAUUGAAAUGGACUUUAAUAUCUUCAUACCAAAUGUAUAUAUGUCUCUUAACUUCAAAAUAGUAUAAGAAUCACCUCAAUCCGAUCAUUGUAGCUCAAGAUAAGUCGAAAUACCACAAGGUGUGAAAGCUGUGAAACUUACUUCCUUUUGUUUUUUAUUGCAUUUCCUCUUUUGCACUUCAUAUUCUCUUUUUAUCACUUUAAACCAUCAUCAAUCAUCCAAUUAUCUUCUUAAUUCAUGACAUUUGAUGAUUGAAUCAUUAAACCUACAAAACAUGAGGUUUUCACCAUAAAAAUCCCUCGAAAUGCAAUCUUUGCCACUUUAAACCAUCAAAUGCAUAUUUUCACUAGAAUCCUAGUUAAUUAGCUAUAAAAAUAGUUAAAACACACCAAAACUAAUUAAUAAAACACACAAAAAACACGUAAAAUAUCUACUUGUCACAAUGCAUCACAGAUUGUGUCGAAAAAUCAUGUCACAGGAUAUCUAAAAGAGAGUGAUCUUGAGGUGAAAAAUAGUCCCCAUGUACCCAAAGCUGUGCUAGUGAAAAACCUCUACUUGGCAUGCGAUCCUUACAUGCGCCAUUUGAUGUCCCCUCCCAACACCGAUUUCCCAUCUUUGCUUACUCCAUUGCCCACAGGAUCGGUAAGAUAAUCUCGAAGUUCCUUCAUUUAUUUAAUUUUUUCCACAAGAAGUCAGACCUUAUUUUACUUUUGUCCCUUCUUCUACAAUUUUUUUUUUGUUUCUUUGCAUUUUUUUCUCUUUGGCUGACUUGUUGAAGAUAUUAAAGGAAAAUAACUAAUGCACAAAAAUUGGCAUAUUUGUUAUCGAGAUAUCAUUCUUCAAUUAUGCUCAUUAUCUCGACAUUAAUUUGUUCCAUGUUCUUGUUUAAAAAGUAGGAGUUUUUUUUCUCCUUUUUUUUGGGUUGGUAGGACAAAAAUCUGGGACAAUAAUAUGCACUACAUGUCAUGUCUAUUCAAACUAAGACCUAUUAGUGGAUUCCUUACAUCUUUUUAUUAUUAUGAUGAUUAUUAAUAAAUAUGCUUCAUUGUACUUUCCAUAUGUAUAUUGUUAUUGCCCAGUAGAGGGUUUUGGACCCGAAUUAUUUGCAAAAAAUGUAUUUGCUUACAUUACAAACGUAUUUUUUGACACAUCACAUCCGUAAAAAAUGUUACAAUAAUUAUUUCAAAUAAUAUUUUAAAUGAUCCCCUAUCAUGUUUUAAUUUUGCAAAUAUUUUCCAGCUCCGCCAUUGCCUUGGCAUUGAAUGCAACACGAAUGAAACCUGAUUCAGCAUAAGUCACUUUUCAAGGAAUAUUUGUAAGCCUCAUUUUGAUCUUAAAGAUCUGCUACUGACUGUUUCACUGAUUUCAUCAGGUACUAGUUGGUUAUGGAGUGGCCAAGGUGAUAAAAUCAGGAGAUCCAGCAUUUGAUGAGGGAGGUUACGUGUGGGGAAAAGUCGGUUGGGAAGACUACAGCAUGAUUCAUAACACUAAUCUGCUGUUCAAGAUAAGAUAUACAGAUAGAUGUUCUUCUCGCAUACCAUGCGGGCAUUCUAGGUACUUUAAAUUGACCAUGAAUUAUUGGUACAGGUAUUUUAGAUCUUUCCUUGUCAGCUAUAAAAAGCCAACGAUUCAAUUUACCACAUUAACCGAGUGGUAUAAAUUGUAAUGUCCUUUAAAUUGACCAUGAACUAUUGGUACAGGUAUGCCAGGGGUUGCAGCCUAUGUUGGUUUUCAUAAGGUAUGCACCCCUAGGGAAGGGGAGGUGGUGCAUGUUUCACGUGAAAUAAUGACUUGUUUUUUGACAACCAUUAUCAUAAUAAUCUGGUGUUGACCCACAACAGUGGUCAUAUCUUGUGCCCUGAAUCAAGAAAACUGAGUUGUCUACCAAAUUUAACAAAAUGAUAAGGACUUAUUUACUCACAUAAUACGAUUCGAAUCUAGUGUGACGUGACAAAAGCAAAUUGAGUGAAAAAGAACUUGAUGGAGAGAGGUGAUUAAAUUAAUAACGGAAUUUGGUUAGAGCAAGAAAUUUACUUAUUUGAAUAUUAGCUUAAUUAAAUUUCAUAAGCCCUCGUGGUUCACAUAUGCUUGCCAAAGAACUUCUCAGAAUCCACCUAAUUUAGAAUUGGAUUAAAAAUUUAAGAUGUCAUGUAUUAUGCAUACUGCAUUUUCGAACGCUUUAGCCCUUGAUGUUCCAUAGAUCCAAAGAGGAAGUCAUCUCGCAUGCGGAAUUCCUCCUCAAUUUUAUAUUUGACAAGAAUUUUAUGUUUUCAAGACAUAGCAAAUGCAAAAGUAUAAAGAAUGAUUUAUAAGGGUUUACUUUUUUAAACAAUUUUGUCAUCAUAACUUGUUCGUUUUGUCAUAAGGAAUUGAAGAAAAUGGUCUACGAAUUAUCUCAUUGAAGAAAUAAACUAGCAGCUGGAACACUAUUAGUAAAAAGGAGAGAGGAGUCGAGUAAUAGUGCUAAAUUAUAGAUAUCCUAGAAUACUUAAAAAUUUAAUGUCAAAAUUUUCUUGAAAUUUUAUGGUAUAAGGAAAUGUUAGAUUUUCAUUUACUUUAAAUAGAAAACAAAAUUGAGGAAGCUAUUGAUGCCUGACCCCUAGAAGAAAAUGCAAAAGAAACAGCGUACUCUCAAAUCCGUGAUUAAACCUGAGAUGACGGGAUAUAAAUUAAGUAAGGCUUUUUCUAGCUGGUGCUCAAUGGGUACAAAAUCAACAUACACAAAAAUAUUGUCAACACACUGUUAAAGCUAAAAAAAAAUUACCACCCAAUACUUUCACAAAGAAGUUUACCCUUUUGUAGAUAAAUAAAAAUCAAAUCCGCCUUUUAUUGACAAACAAUUGCAAAAUUCAUGUGAAGUAACUAGUUGUGAAUCACGUCCAAUUAGUCUAGCAAAUCAAAUGGCAAUGACUUAUUUACUCAGAUAAUAUGAUUCGAAUCCAGAGAGGUAAUUAAGUUACAAGUUGAUUUUAAUUCUGAUCAUCUUAAUUCAAAUUGGCUAUCAUUUUUCCGUAAAUGUACCAAUAAUUAAUUCAUUAAGUAAUUAUUUGCUUUAAGGUUAUGUCUGUUCAGUAUCUAGUGAGCAUUCGUGUAGAUGUAGUUCAGCUAUUAAUAUUUUGAAGAUAUAAAGUUAGAUAAAGAGAACAUAUAAAUGCAAAAUAAGAUAAUCAUUGUUAAUGUAUGUAUUCAUAUAAUAGGUUACGUGUCAUUUAGAUAUCCUAACAAGUGUCCAUUGACCGCUCAUUUGAAAAAUUCAAUGACGGUAAAUUGAACAAUGAUAUGACAUUAUUAAAGUGAUUCUUAUGUCCUAAAUUUUUUAAGAGAAUUGUAGACUAUCUUAAGGCUAAAUCAAAUGGGGACUUAUGAUAUCAAUGACAUAAUCAAUUAGUUAUUAAUUCCACAAAGGGCCAAUAAUUCAACCCAAUGAUUCAUGACACUAAUGACACGUUAACUUAUUCAAAAUAAAGACAUGGUAUAAUAUCAGGAGGAGAGAUCUGGUUGACAACACCUUGUCAAGCUACCCACUGGCACUAUGGAUAAACAAACUAGAAAUUCAACCCCUUUCCUUGAUUGACAACCUUGAGAGUCUUGGAAUUUGUCGACAUUUUCUUGAUGAACUUCAGAGUGUCUUGGAGGAUACAUACAGGUGGUCUUCUAAUUUAAAUUUCAGGACAUAUGCAUGUUUACUUUGGAUUUGAGGCAAAACCCACAUUCAAAUUAUUGUUUUAUUUGUUUUAACUUAACAUAGCAUAUAUGGACCCAAAGAAUUUAUAAUGCAUUAUAUGGUUAUACAAAUUACUAUUUUAGUUGUACCAUAAUCAGAUGUUUUGUGCAACAGUCCAAUAUUUCUUAGGCUACACAUGGGCAAAACAAGGAUGUCAUGCAUUCUAGAGCUAAUUUGUUGAUCAAUUUUCUUGAUGCUCAAUUUAUUAAUACGCCCUUCCCACGGGAAAAAAAAAGGUGCUGGCAGCAGGUUUUUCUCCCUCUAAUCCCCUUCGGUUCAGUUGGACUCUCCCCUAGUAUAGAUUAGAAUAGGAACAGAGUAUAAAUUUUGCCGAUUAACAAAAAAAAAGGUUAAAUAUUAGGCUAGUGAUUAAAAGGUUCUUGUUUUUUUAUCUGAUAUCUAGAAUUCUAUCAUAAAUGAAAUAAUAAUUUCUAUUAAAAAAGAAUUCUAUCAUCACCAUCUCUUUUUGUACAUGUACCUUUCUUGCAUAGGCGCUUUUUAAAACUGUGGUGUAGAUAAACAUUGACAGGAAAAACUAAUCACAUUUCCCUCCGAUGGUGAAGAUUAGUUAGCUCCGAACGAAAGAUGAUCCCAAAAUCGAAAUUAGAGUUUCAUCCAAGUCAAAUCGUGACCAUUAUUCAAUUGAAAAUGAAGUACUUUGUUAGAUUAGUAAUUAAUUUAGUACAUUUUAUGAUUUGUUUUAUUGUUUGAUUAACAAAUGGUAGAUUCAGGAUUAUUACCAUGUCCACGUGUGACAGUUCCUGUCGGGGAAUCCAAUCCACCUAGACUACACGCUGAUUCAUACACAGUACAAGCGUUAAACAUCCAAAGAAGAUGUGAGAGAAUUCACGUUGUAAAAGACUUGUGCUCGAUCGCAUGCAGGGUACAGUUUCUUGAUCAAGCUACAUAUGAUGACAAAAGACCGAUGCCUCAAAAGUGUGAUUAGCUACAAUUGCAUUCUUCCUAGACAAAAAUUGAAGAAAACACCAAAACUCUCUUGCUAGAUGAUAUUCAUGACUCAUGAGCAUGACAAUGAAAAUAACUCAAUGCAUGAACCAACCAGUUAACGUCUUCAGAAGCAGAAUUGAUGUAGCGAUUGGAAGACAAGUGGCCAAUUUCUCAAAAUAGUUUUUUUCCUAGAUUAGCGGAUAUGACAUCACUACAAGAAAAUUUCCCUAUUAUGGCAUACUUGUUAGGGCACUAUUCAGUAAAUGCCUCAAAUAAACACUUAUUAAGGCAUUAGGUAGUUUCUGCCAUAUUAGCACCUAUUAAUUAAAUAAAAAAAACAAUGUAUAAGGGACAAACCUUGUAAGAAAAACUGAAAAUAAAAAAUAUAAAGAAAAUAUUUGUAAAGGCAUUUUAGAGAUGUGCCACAACAACUAUUAAAAGGAAAAAUAAUUAUUUCAUGGGACGAUAUUUCAAAUGACUGUACACUUUUGUGCUAUCAAACUCUCUUAACUUCUCAAAGGACGGCAUUAUUGGUUGGCGGACUAGUACCUUGUUUGGCAAGCCACUUUCUACCAAAAAAUUUCUACUUUUUUAUGAACAUAUUUUUCAAUCACAUUUCUAUCUUACAUAUAUCAAAUCAUGACAGCACACUUUUCUACAAAAAAAAAAAAAACUUAAAAAAUUGCAAUCCAAACAAACCAAAAAUAAAUGGAAGAAAAAAUCGUCAUCAAAGCACUUUGGACGAACCAAAUUAGAAGAAAUAAUGACGAUUUUUUUAUCCCAAGAGACAAUUAAAUGAUUUUGGAUUUGAUUUUAGGUUGAUAAUCACGUGUGGUUAUUCUUUUAUUACUACGGGCCUGUUUGGAACCUGAGUUUUUUGGGGGUUUGUCUAAAACUUUACUGUAGUGCACUGUAGAAGUUUUUGAAAAAAUUUUGUAAAAGUUUUUUAUAAGGUGAAAAACUUUUUUGUAGGAGUUUUUUUGUAAGGCGAAAAACUUUUUUUCCUUUUCUUUUUUUUUCUCUUUCUCUUUUUUUUUUCUUUUUUUUCUUUUCUUUCUUCUUCUUCCCCAUUACCUCUGCCUCCCAGCAGCAACGCAGCCUGCUCCACCCCCUACUCCGCCACCGGCCCCACCUCUAGCACCUCCGGCCACGAUGUUCCUGAUUUCGCACCCCAACAGCUGCUGCUCCACCGUGUGCCUCUCCACACUGUUCGUCCCCAUUCCGUCCUCCAGCACAUCGAACAGCGCCGAGUAGUAAUGCAGCGCCUCCACGAACCGCCGCAAGAAGCUUCCCCCGUGGCUCAGGUCCUGCUAGUUGCUGGCGCGUCGAGACAGUUCAUGGCCACGCACUCGGCGCAUUGCAGGAGGAGGCCCAGGAGACAGAGGCCGGAGGACUUGGUGUCACUAGCUGCUGCUCCACCCAAGGAGGCGGUUGCGGCGGCGGCUUCGAGCUCAGCAACGUCGUCGUCCUCGUUGUCUAAGUCGAUGGUUCUGUCAGCGGAGGUGGAAGGGUUGUCGGGGCCGAGGGAGGAGUGGCGGCGUUUGAGGAGGAGAGGUCUUCGUGGUGGGCAGAGGAGGAGCGCUUGGACUGCAUAGAGGAGGAGGAGUUGGAGGAGGGACGAGCGUUUCUGCUGGGGGGAAGGAGAAUGGGAAUGGGAACGGAAUUAAUGGGGUUGGAAGCAGAAGUAGCAGUGGAAUUGGAGUGGAGCAAACUCUGGAGCAUGAUAGAUGGAUAGAUUGAAUUGGAAGCGGUAAUUGAACUGGAGUCUAGCCCGGAGAGGUGGUGGUGGGUUGGGAUGGGAGAGGAAGAAGAAAAAAAAGGGAAGGAAAUUUUUUUUUUUUUUUUGUGUUUUGUAUAUUUUGAAGUGGGUAGGUAAAAAACUUCUCUAAGUUUUUUGGGGUUCCUGUAGCAAAAGUUGUUAAAAAACUAGUAGGUAAAAAACUUGCUUAAAAACCUGACUUCCAAACAGGCCCUACAUUUCUAGUGAACCUAAGCAGCGCAAGGAACGUUAAGGGUGAGCUGGCCAAAACAAUAUAUGGUGCACAUUUAAAUAUGUAUAGAUUCUUGGCUUCUUUGUUUUUUUCUUCUUGGGGAAUCUUGGUACUGCCGUUGCCCCAAAUUAUUGGUUCUGUCCUUGCUGUUGCUCUCGAUGUUGGGGCAAGGGUCGCAGACUCGCAUGUGGUGGGUGGUCUGCGUCAAUCAUGUACAAUGAAAUUGACAUUGACAUUGACUGAUAGUCACGUGAAUCACGUAAAUCAUGAUUGUGAUGUACCACCUCCCCAAGUUCACGAGAUUGCAACAAGACCACUUGCUAUAAAAUAAAGCCCUGAAAUUGGUACUUGUUCAAGGGUAAUUUGAAAACUUCGGCCAUGUUUGGACAGUAAUUUUCUAAAAAAAAUUUAUUUCAUUUUUCGCGAACAUAUUUUUCAAUCACUUUUUUAUCUUAUAUAUAUCAAAUCACUACAAUAAUUUUUAUACAAAAAAUCUAGAAAAAUGCAAUCUAAACAAGGCCUUAUUUGUCCACUAUUAAAUAGUUAAUUAUCAUGAUUGCGAAAAGAUAAUGCAUUGACAAAGUUAAAAUAAAAUACCCUUCAAAAUAAAUCAGUUGAUGAUUAGCCCAGCUAGGCAGGGAUUAUCAGUUAAUUAAGGUAUUCUGUUUAAGUCAGAAAUUUAAAUUUCAUCUUUUUUUAAAUAUUCAACUAGAGCCUAACCUAUUAAAGGCCAUGCAUCAUAAGAGAGAUACGGAGCUUAAAAAGUACAUCUCUCAUGUUGUAAUAAUAGCCAAUUUAUGGUUUUUUUGUUUGACAAAAUGACAGGUUGUCGGUGCUUGUGCAAUAAUAAUAAUGAAAAUCCUAAUUGCCAACAAAAAUAGUUUCGAGUCAAUUCUAGUACUGGAAUAGGGAUUCUAAAUGUGCAAUAAGUUAUUAGAUUCAUCCUGACUCCGAAGAGUUUGUUUAAUCCGAUACACCAGAAUUUAUUCACAAGAACUUGUUAAUUUGUAUAUAAGACAAGUAGGGUCGAAUCUACAGAGACGGGAAGUAAUUUGUUUCUACUAAAGUUCAAGUUAACAAUGGGGGAAUUUUAGAAAAAUUAACAAUAAGCUAUACUAAAGUACCAGAUCUUAGGUCGUCGUCGCUUAGUCUCACAAAAGAAAACUGGUGAAGUUGACUAAGCCAGUGAACAAAACUGGACUGUGAACAUCAAGUCUUGAAGUACGAGAUCUUGGUACUCUACAAUUAUUUUGAGGGGAUAAUUGCAGAAACCUUCCCUGAGGUUCUUGACACUUGUACUGAUCUCUCCUGUGGUUUGAAAAAUUGCACUGACCUCCCCUAAACUUACUAAUCAUUUACAAAUUCAGUCCAAACUAUUAAAAUAUUGUUUUAGAUAGUGAAAUUAGAAUUUUGUACCAGAUUUGCCUUUUGUGCUACAUGUCCAUUGAAUGACAAAGUGCUACAAAUUAAUUAACAAUUAAUAAACUUUAAGAGGUGUAGUUUAUGGGCAAAUACACAUUACCUAUUUAAAGUACCGGCUCUUCAUGGGUAGUUUACUUUCAAACAUGUAAUUUAUGAUAAAUAUAUCAAUAUUUGUAAGUAAAAUUCAAAAACUGUUACAGUAAUAUUCUUAUAAAAAGAAAAUCGGUAGGUUAUCUAUUUAAUAUAAAUUAAAUAUUUUUUAAAAAAAAAGAAAUGACCCAAAAGUAUUAAUUCUUUAUGGCUUUCAUCCAUUAGAUGAGUAAAGUAUUGGCUCUUUAUAGGCAUUUUAUUCUGAAUCAUUUAAUUUAUAUUAAAUACAUAAAUGUUUAUAACUAAAAUUGAAAAAGUAUUACAUUAAUAUUUUUACGGAAGGGAAACUGGUAGGUUUUGUAUUUAACAAAAAUUAAAUAUUUGAGAGUAUACUUUAUGGGCCAUUUCUUUUUUUUUUUAAAAAUAUUUAAUUUAUAUUAAAUAGAUAACCUACCGAUUUCCUUUAUGUAAGAAUAUUACUGUAACACUUUUUUGAAUUUUACUUACAAACAUUGAUAUAUUUAUCACAAAUUAAAUGUUUGAAAGUAAAAUAUCCAUAAAAAAUCGGUACUUUAAAUGGGUAAUACGUAUUUGCCCAUAAACUACACCCUUUAAAGUUUAUUAAUUGUUAAUUCAUUAGACAUGUAGCACAAAGGACAAAUCUGGUACAAAAUUCUAAUUUCACUCCCUAAAAUAAUAUUUUAAUCUUUUGGACUAAAUUUGCAAAGGAUUAGUAAGUUCAGGGGAGGUCAGUGCAAUUUUUCAAACCACGGGGGAGGUCAGUGCAAGUGUUAUAAACCUUAGGGGAGGUUUCUGCAAUUAUCCCUUAUUUUGAGUAAACUAAAGUACCAGAUCUUGGUACUUUCGUCGUCGUCUCUUAGUCUCUCGAAAGAAAACUGGUGAAGUUGACUAAGCCUGUGAACAAAACUGGACCUGUGAACAUCAAGUCUUGAAGUACGAGUUCAAUUGACUAAGCACCAGAUCUACCCUAAACUUCACUUCAUAACUAAGCGACGACGAAAGUACUACUCUACAAUUUAAUCGUUUUCUUUUAAGUGUACAGCAAUUCGCAUUUACUGCUCAUUUUUCAGAUCUGCAUUUUCAUAAUUUAGCUUUUCCCCCCUUAAACCAUUUUACCCUAGCGUUAUUGAUCCCUUGCGAAUUGAUUACGUUAUAAUUCUGUUUCUUCUCCGCCCCCCCUCCUAACCAACACAAGGUUUUGGCGUAUAUUUUGAAUUGGUCGUUUGUGCUGUUAUUGUUAAUACCUGGAACAUCUAUUUUGAAGUUGAAAUACUGGUCCUGCGGAUUUAUUUACUAUUUGUAUUUGUAGCCCUGGGUUAGUUCUUCACUACAUUAAUUUCGAUGACAUCGGUUAAUUUUGGCUCAGAUCUGCUUUAGCCUUGGGAAUUUGUUUGAACCGUGCCUGAGUUUAGCGGUCAAUGAAAUGCGAUGUUGUAAUUUCGACUAUUUAAUCUGUAGUGGAUUACUCUCCAUCCAUGGGGAUCGAGAAGGGUGCUGUUCUGCAGGAAGUGAGGGUCUUUAAUUAUCCUCAAUUGGAUCCUAGGAGAUGUUCACAGUUCCAGUUUUCAGCCUGCCUUGUUACCUAAUAUUCGACCUGCUGAUAUUCUACCUGCACAUCCAGUUAAAGGUUAAUUUCCACUUUAGUUAUGAAGUUUAGGGUGUUUAUGUGUAGGUUUAUAAAUGAUAGAGGGGUAAGGUGUCUUUUCGCGAAACCACAAUAGGGUUCCUUGUAUUUUACCCUAUUUCAAAUGACUACACACUUUUGUGCUAUCAAACUCUCUUAAGUUCUGAGAGGACGGCAUUAUUGGUUGGCAAACUAGUGCCUUGUUUGGCAAGUCACUUUCUAUCAAAAAAUUUCUACUUUUUCAUGAACAUAUUUUUUAAUCACAUUUUUAUCUUACAUAUAUCAAAUUAUGACAGCACACUUUUCUACAAAAAACCUAAAAAAUUGCAAUCCAAACAAGACCACGUGAGAAUAUAGUGAUAGAUGAAUAAUGAUUUUGUUUCUUUUUUUUUUUUAAAUCAAUGGCCGAAAAUAGUGGUGGACAAAUCUAGCAUGUGAUUUGAUGCCAUAUGUGAUUUAAUCCCUAAUGAUAAACAACAAAUUCUAGUAUUUUUUUUAAUAUUCGGACGGGUAUUAGAUUAGUUAAACAAUUUAGUAGAUGUGGGGCAAUGGUGAAAUUAUAUUAUUUUUUCACUUCUAAUAUCACUUUUUAAUUAUUUGUUGGACCUAGGUGUUACAAAAUAAUAAAUGUCAAAGGAGGUUAGUGUAAGUUUUAAAAGGUAGAGGAAUGCUUGUGAAAUAAUCAAAAACAUCAGGGGAGAUUUCUGAAAUUAUCCCAUUAAUUUGUACCACUCAAUUAUAAGCACGUUGCCCGUGCGGCUGUGCAGAAUCUCAAGUCCGGCCGUCCUUGUGUGUGAUUUGUUGUGCAUCAUGUUAUCAAUUUCCUCCUUAGUUCCGAUAAAGAAAGACAUUUAUUUAUUUUACAUAACUUGUCACAAAUGUUGUACGAGGAGACUGUGCAGAACUCCAUUCACCAUCUAGCAUCGUUUCCUUCCUUUAAUAUUGGUCGUCAUAAAACAAACCAAAAAAAAAAUGGAAAAAAAAAUCGUCAUCAAAGCACUUCGGACGAUCCAAAUUAGAAGAAAUAGUGACGAAUUUUUUAUCCCAAGAGACAAUUAAGUGACUUUGGAUUUGAUUUUAGGUUGAUAAUGGCAUGUGUGGUUAUUCUUUUGUUACUACAUUUCUAGUGAACCUAAGCAACCCAAGGAAGGUUAAGGGUGAGCUGGCCAAAACAAUAUAUGGUGCUGGUGCACAUUUAAAUAUGCAUAGAUUCUUGGCUUCUUUGUUUUUUUCUUUAAAUGUAUAGAUUCUUGGCUUCUUUGUUUUUUUCUUCUUGGCGAAUCUGGGUACUGCCCUUGCCCCUAAUUAUUGGUACUUUCCUUGCUGUUGCUCUCGAUGUUUGGGCAAUGGUCGCAGACUCGCAUGUGGUAGGUGAAUCACGUAAAUGCAUGAAUGUGAUGUACCACCUCCCCAAGUUCACGAAAAUGCAACAAGACCACUUGCUAUAAAAUAAAGCCUUGAAAUUGGUACCUGUUCAAGGGUAAUUCGAAAACUUAGGCCAUGUUUGGACAGUAAUUUUUCUUUACAUUGUCCGUGAACAUAUUUUUCAAUUACCUUUUUACCUCAUAUAUAUCAAAUCACUACAGUAAUUUUUUUACAAAAAUCUAGAAAAAUGUAAUCCAAACAAGGCCUUAUUUGUCCACUAUUAAAUAGUUAAUUAUCAUGAUUGCGAAAAGAUAAUGCAUUGUCAAAGUUAAAAUAAAAUACCCUUCAAAAUAAAUCAGUUGAUGAUUAGCCUAGUUAGGGGUGUUUCGCGAAUCGAGCCGCUCGCGAUCGGAUACGAGCUUGACUCGAGCUCGUCAAUUAAUUAAGUCGAUCUCGAGCUCGAGCUCGAGCUCAAAAACAUUAAAUUCGUUGGCUAGCGUCUCAAUUAUAUAUAUUUUUUAUUUUUUAUUUUAAUAGUAAAAUUACAUAUAUAUUCAUAAUAUUUUAUUAUUUGUUAAAAAAAUUAUUAUUUUAUUCUUUUUUAAAAAUAAAUAUUUAUUUUUUAUUUUUUAAAAAUAAAAAAUAUAAUGUUUCCAUGGGGUAGGUGUAAAUUAGGCCGAAGAGCAAACUAGAAUACUUAUAUAAAUAACUGCUAAAUUCCCAUCUAGCUCAUACUUUCUUCCUCUAGCAACUUCAUUCACAAAUCUAACUAUGGAUCUGAUCCAAUAUUUGGUGGCAAUUCCAGUGGUUUUGGCUUUAUUCCUGUCCUACAUACAAUGGAAACCAAGGUCACAAAUUUCCGGUGAAAAGAGAAAAUCACCCCCGGAACCAGAAGGUGCCUGGCCAGUCAUAGGCCACCUCCUUCAAAUGAAUCCCAAAAUUCAUGUAGCAGAGACCUUAGCAGCCAUGGCUGAUAAGAAUGGCCCUGUCUUCAGCAUUCGGCUUGGAAUGUUGCCAGUUCUGGUGGUGAACAACUGGGAAUCAGUCAAAGAAUGCUUCACUACAAAUGAUAAGGCCUUUGCCUCGCGGCCACCUUCAAGUUUCGCCAAAUAUCUUUGCUACGACUAUGCAGCAUUUGGUAUUGCACCUUAUGGUCGAUACUGGCGCGACGUGCGGAAGAUGGUUUUGCGGGAACUGCUUUCGACUCAAAGGCUUGAGAAGCUGAAGCAGGUCCGAAUAUCUGAGGUGCAAACUAGCAUCAAAGAAAUAUUCUUGAAUAUUAGUGAGGUCAACAAGCACGGUAAUGAAAUAAAAGCUCCAGCUAGAGUGGAUCUUGGUGAUGUGUUUGAGAAAUUAACUUUGAAUAUUGUCCUGAGGAAAAUUGCUGGGGGCAGAUACACAGACAGCGACGUUGGCAAAGAAAGAGAUUCUGAAUUCAGAAGAGUUCUUAAGGAAUUUGAAGCUUUUGCAAGGGUACUUGUUGUCUCGGACAUUAUUCCCUUCCGAUUCUUGAAAUGGCUCGAUCCUCAAGGGAAUAUCAAGUCGAUGAAGCGUUUGGCUAAAGAGCUUGACAAGUAUAUGCAGAUUUGGGUGGAUGAACAUAAGGAGGGAAGGAUGAAAAAUAGUGGCGAUGGUGAUGAUGAGCUAGGCUUCAUAGAUGUGUUGCUUUCAACAAUUAAAGACGAGUCCAUCUGCGGGUUCUCCAAGGAGGUUGUGAUAAAGUCCACAAUAUUGGUAAGCCACUCUUGUACAUGCAUCUUUUGGACUGUAAACAAUACCAUUUAUGGAAAUUAUUUUGCAAAAUCAUAUGCUUGUAUCUUAUACCAUAUUAAAAUCUGGAACAUAAUUCAGUGUUUGACAACUAAAAUUGAACUGGCUCCCUCCCUAAAAGUUACUAUUCCCUUAGUCUCCUUUUUAUCAUGUUGGCUAGCUAGUGUCACAUCUAAUUGCUUGCGAAUGACAGUAACAACAUCCCAAGAAAUCAUAACCUUUAAUUGACAUCAAUAUAGAUGCAAAUUGUAUGGAAGGUCAUUUCAAAUAAGAGUGGUUUGAAAUAAACGCAAUAUUGAUUUCAAGAAACCAUUAUUCUUUUUCUUUUCUAGAAGGUGUACAUCCAAUAGUAGUAGGAGUUGGGUUUCAUGGAGCAAAACCUAAAAUCUUAUAUUGCCAUAAAUUGUCCACCCUAGUUUCUUUCUUGUAGAACUUCUCCCUUUUCUGAUAUUCUAAGCUCCACAACUAAUUAGGACAAGUUAAAAAAAAAAUCAAAACUCAAAACUCUUCAGGUAAUCUAUUCUUAGUGUAGAACUAAUCUUUGCCAGAAAUUUCUAUUUGUUACUUUUCAUUAUUAUUAUUAUUAUUAUUUUGCUUGCAGGUGCUUAUUGUAGCAGGAACUAGUACCACAUCAAGGGCGUUGAGCUGGGUUAUCUCCCUACUACUGAACCAUAGGCACGUUUUGCAAAAAGCCCAGGAAGAGAUUGACUCUUUUGUUGGUAAAGAGAGAUGGGUAGAAGAAUCUGAUAUCAAGAAUUUAGUCUACCUACAUGCCAUUGUCAAAGAGACAAUGCGACUACAUCCACCAGCACCUGUACCUAUGCCACGCCAAGCCGACGAAGACUGUAACGUAGCUGGCUACUUCAUUCCUAAAGGCACCCAAUUAUAUGUCAACGUAUGGAAAAUUCAGCGCGACCCAAGAAUAUGGCCGG
rnacentral:lncRNA from 1 species